AAUAGCUUUAUAACUAUUUAAAAACCUUGCCCCUAAAUUUAUUCAUAUUAGAAUUGAGGAAAUCUUAUUAUAAAUAAAAACAUGAAUUAUUAAAUGGCCGUCUCGUGGGUAUUCUAGGGUAAAGGCCACGUGUAAAGAAAGUCUCGUACUGGGAGAAAGGCUUAAAUAAGUCUGAAGCGGAGGCUUCUGUUAUAAUACUAUAGUGUAGCGCGGGAAAACCAGGUGGUGUCUUAACAUAACACAAAACCCGGUAUAAAACGAGUUAAAAUCGAUAAAUGGCGACCUACUCGUUUGACGCGAGCAAAGCAGCUUGUUGGGAUAUAAGUUGGUGGUCGGGAAAUGCCGUGGCCUGGAAGCGGUGGACAGGCGCAACCCGAAACAGAUAAGUGCAGAGAACACUAAAAGACCAACUACGACACCAAGAAGCGACGAACCGCCCGUCCUGCCAUCGGAUUCAUCUGUGCACACGCAACAAAAUAUAGCAUAAUACCUUGAGCACAGAAACUACUUCGAGUAUUGGUAGGCCUGGAAACGGUGACGAUGUGGUAUCCCUGUUUACACUUACAUAUGGCAUUGUGGUCCACCUGUGCGCACACCGCGUGCUUGUCGUGAAGCUGACACGUGUCAUCUUGAAAACACUGCUCUCCCAAGUCUACAAAUUUAAUUGGAAAUUAAACAAAAGUAUUUAUUUAUGCGAUCACAUUGAUAAAUUAUAUUAAUAAAAUCUAAAAUUGUCAUAAUACAGUCCAAAAAAUUAUUAUAUACCAAUAAUUAUUGUA